CAGCAGCCACGGGAACACAGAGGGUGCAAGCGUUAAUCGGAAUUACUGGGCGUAAAGCGCGCGUAGGUGGUUUGUUAAGUUGGAUGUGAAAUCCCCGGGCUCAACCUGGGAACUGCAUCCAAAACUGGCAAGCUAGAGUAUGGUAGAGGGUGGUGGAAUUUCCUGUGUAGCGGUGAAAUGCGUAGAUAUAGGAAGGAACACCAGUGGCGAAGGCGACCACCUGGACUGAUACUUACACUGAGGUGCGAAAGCGUGGGGAGCAAACAGGAUUAGAGACCCCAGUAGUCCCUGUCUCUUAUAC
rnacentral:rRNA from 1 species